rnacentral:pre_miRNA from 1 species
CACUGGUGGGGGGGGUCCCUCGGCCUGGCCUGUGCCCUCUCACAAUCCGGGACCCCUCAGGGGAUCUCAGAGAGCUGGUUUCGGCCCAAUCCCUGCAGGCCGGGCUGAGGGACUCCACCAGUGCACA